CCACCCCAAGCACCACAUCAAAGCGGUCAAAAGUUUUGACGGCUGUGGAAAAAUGCGGAACCUUUCUCGCACCGCUAGUACACUGUCGGACCCUUUAGCCACGCGCAGCGCGCACACAUCCUGUAUUUGAAUUAAACGGCUCAAGCAUGGCCUGAGAAUGCCUGUUACCACCUGACGCUUCGACCGGCACCUGCGGCUAAGUGAAGAAACCCAAAACAGAAAGGUAUGAUAUCAUAAUGGAUGUUGUUUUUGUCUUCUAAUAACUGUGACUAUCCCACCCAUGACUAUCUAUUUUGCGAAGUUUAGAAGCAAGCUAGAUCGGAGGAGAACAUAGUAAACUGUUAAAAUUGCUAUAUGCUAUGCUGUAUUUGAUAACUACGUUGCGAGAUUGUGUACAGUGUUUUAAUAUAAUCUCUCUCUUGUCUCUACACACAUUUGUUUUUGCAACUUCGGAUCGACUUUCGAUCUAGUUAUUUGCUGUUAACUGCUAUUGUUGCCAGAACGUGUUAUGAUUGUGUCAGGUAUAUACAGUAUGCAUUUUGGAUAGGUGUCAUUAAAGAGGGAAAAAUAAUGAAGAGGAAGAAGGCAGACAUAGCGUCCUUCUUCAGGGCAAGUGGAAAGAAGUCAGCUAAGGCAAAGAAUGAGGAUGAGAUGGAGAAAAAACAGGCAGAGAGCGAGGAUGAGGAGCCCCCAGAGAGCAGCAACUUAAAUGGACCUCCAGGUAUACAGUAUAGAGACUCACAUAUAGUACAGCUUGGUAUGAGAUUAUCUUAUUUACAAUUGGCUUAAAGUGUGUCUAUUCAUAUACAGGUCAGGUUGAAAGUGCAUUGUAAAACAUAUCAGUUAGUUUUUUCAUUACAUUAAAGUAUGGCAUAUUUGUAUUUGCUACCCAGAGACACUUUCACUAAUAUUAUACUUUAGCUUAUAGUGUGUUUGUUAAACACUAUAUAGCAUGCAUUAUAAAACCUUUAGGAAAAUUACCUGUACACCUUAUUGUAAUUAUUUUAGAUGUUUCUGAAAGAUUGAUUGAGAGCAGGACAGAAGAGUCCUCCCUGAGGAGUGGCCCCAGUGGAUCCCCAGAUUCCCACAGAGAAGAUUCAGACAGCGAGAGAGAGGAGCCUCCAACAACGAGUGGCGGCCCAAGUGGACCUCCAGACAUUUCCAAAUCAAGAACUGAUAGUCCAGUCCAGCCACGUCUGAAACUCUAUCCGAGGACACUCCAGGGCGACAGGCGCAGAAACUUUCAGGCAUCGUGGUACUCUAUCCACACAUGGCUUGAAUAUUCACUGUCACAAGACUCAGCAUACUGUUAUGCAUGCAGGCAUUUUGGCCUCCCACACACAGAGUCAGUGUUUACGUCAGCCUUGGGUUUUAAAAACUGGAAAAAGGCAACAUUCAGAAAUGGAGGGUUUUGUGGACAUGCAAAGGGAGAGGGUCACACAAAUGCAAUGAUUGCUUGGAAAGAAUAUGAGAGAGCAGAUAAAGCUGAUGCCUUGUUAAUGAGUACUUUAAGUAAAGAACAUCAUAAGCAGAUAGAGGAAAAUCGUGCCU